rnacentral:rRNA from 1 species
GACGAACGCUGGCGGCGUGCUUAACACAUGCAAGUCGAACGGAAAGACUCUGCUUUUGUGGGUCGCUCCAGUGGCGAACGGGUGUGUAACCCGUGAGUAACCUGCCCCUGACUUUGGGAUAAUUUCACGAUACUGGGGCCUAUACCGGCUAGGAGCUCUUGCUGCUUGGUGGAGGUUGGCAAGUUUCGGCGGUUGGGGAUGGACUCGCGGCUUAUCAGCUUGUUGGUGGGGUAGUGGCUUACCAAGGCUUUGACGGGUAGCCGGCCUGAGAGGGUGACCGGCCACAUUGGGACUGAGAUACGGCCCAGACUCCUACGGGAGGCAGCAGUGGGGAAUAUUGCACAAUGGGCGGAAGCCUGAUGCAGCAACGCCGCGUGCGGGAUGACGGCCUUCGGGUUGUAAACCGCUUUCGCCUGUGACGAAGCGUGAGUGACGGUAAUGGGUAAAGAAGCACCGGCUAACUACGUG